AUGAUGAUGAUGAUGAUGAACUCAGACAGAGACUUCCAGAUGAUCAAAAAGCAGGAGAGGGCACACUUCUUCAGCUCCAAAGAACAGGAACUCAUUUUAAAGUUGUAUGAAGAGGAACGAGAGAUCCUCACAGCUAAAUCCAACACCACCAGCGCCUCCAAACUCAGGGAGGAAGCCUGGCAGAGAAUUGCUGAUAAAAUAAAUGCAGCUUCAGAUAGUGGAUACAAAAGGACAUGGCAACAAGUCAAAGUCAAGCACAAGAACAUUGUCCAGACAGCAAAAAGAAAAAGGGCAGAGGUGAUGAGGGCUGAGGGGGAUUCGGCCACGCCUUCUCUGACCUCCGCCGAGGAGGACGUGCUGCAUCACAGGGACAGCUCGCUCAGAGUGGAGGUCCUCCCUGGGGUGCCCUGCAUCGGCCCCAUGAGUGGAUCUGACAGCUCUUUCAUGAGUGUGUCUGGCCAUCCAGUCCUCCUCCUGCCUGUAACCAAGACUGAACCAGAGAGCCUGAGUGGAGACGACACUGACAUCAGCGAGGCUCAUUUUGAUGGGGAUGUGCACCACAGCAGCUUCCAGGAGGAAGGGAACUCUGUAGGAGCUACAAUGGGCGGCAGCAACAAUGAGAAGCAGACAGACGAUCUCAAGACUCUUUACUGUUCUUAUCUUAAAAAGGAAAUGGAGAACCGGGACCAGGAAAUGGCGUACCGAGCACUUAAAAUGAGGAAGCUGGAAAAAGAAAUUCAGUUACUUGACAAACAGCUCCUGUGACAGUAAAACAGCAUAAUAUAUAUAUUUUUUAAUUUUUAAGUACGUACUAUAAUGUUAGAGAAGACAUUUUUAACGUCAAGCCAGACAGUAGCACAAGCAUCUGUGCACCUAUAGAGGGGCUAUAGAUCUAGUAACCUAGAACAUCUUGUGUGUUAGGAAGUUUUUAUUUAUAGCCCCACUCCAAUCUUCUUUUGAUCUAUUCUAAAAGCAUGGUCUUUUAAUCAUGAUUAUGCUAUUUUUAGCCAAAGACUAAAAAAAAAGCUGUUGUUUUCCAGGGCACAGUUUUUGCAGAGCAGCAGUAGUUCAUUAGAAAUUCACAUCUUAGUUGUGGGUGAGACUGUUGCUAUAGAGCAAACCCACACACACUUCCCGUCACCCACCUGUUGACGUGGUCUCCUGCUAGCUUUCAGCCCCUCACAACCUAACAAUACCAGUGCAAGAAAAGUGGUUCUAUUUUUGUCUGCUUCUGAUUCACAACAAUUUGAAAAAAGAAAUACUCCCAAAUUUAAUUGUAAGGCUCAUUUUCUUUAAAUAUGCCCUCCAUUACAAUAAACAAAAAGCCACAAGAACAUGUUAAAAACACAAUUUUCAUCGGAGUCUGUCUUAAAUGCUGCACAGUGCUGUGUAGAGUCAAACGGUGUGGUCACAGUGUUUCCAUGAAGAGGCUUUUUUAAAAUUUGUUUUUCUUAAUUGAGAAAAAGUCUUCAAUGACUUACGAGAUACCCAAAAGAUAAAGAAAUAGAAUUCAUUUAAAACAUGAAAAAUGUGCUUUUCUUCCAACAGUGCCAAGAAGUUAGCACUCUUAGAAAACCUCAAGAAUGGUUGGAUAAUAGGAAAUGUAGUUUAGAUGCAUUUCAACACUGAAACAUCCAGGAGCAACGAGACCUACAUAUACAUGUGUGGGCUUGCAGCAUGCCUGCAGGCAAUCACUGAACUUAACAGACAUUCUUUAUUGGAUGUUUUUCUUUUUUCUCCAAAUCAUUUUUAGUUGCUUAGUAAAAUCCCCGGUUGGUUAAUUUGUCUAGAUGACUAGAACAUUUUAAAGACCUAAUUUCCUGUUGCUGAACAGUAAGAAUACAGACAAAAAUGCUCCCAAAAGGUUGUAUAUGCUUUGUUUUUUAACUUGAGGCACUUGUUUUUUUAAUUUUUAAACUGUAUUUAUACAUUUAAUUUACUUUGUACUUAGGUAUUGCUUGUAAUUUAUUUGAAUAAAGAUGUAAAUAU
ensembl:lncRNA